rnacentral:rRNA from 1 species
UACGUAGGGUGCAAGCGUUGUCCGGAAUUAUUGGGCGUAAAGAGCUCGUAGGCGGUCUGUCGCGUCGGAUGUGAAAAUCCAGGGCUUAACCCUGGACCUGCAUUCGAUACGGGCAGACUAGAGUUCGGUAGGGGAGACUGGAAUUCCUGGUGUAGCGGUGAAAUGCGCAGAUAUCAGGAGGAACACCGGUGGCGAAGGCGUGUCUCUGGGCCGAUACUGACGCUGAGGAGCGAAAGCGUGGGGAGCGAACAGG